UAUAUGAACCCCUUGGUGUUUUGAAGAUGGUCAAGGAGCCGACCAGGGGUUGCUACCAAUAGAUUUACUCCUUUAGCUAGGCGUUCUGCCUCACUCCUUCGUGCUGAACCACCAAUAACUAAUCCAUGAGUCUGCGAGUGAUACUUGAGAAGCUCCUUUGCAACUACAUGCGUCUGAAUGAUUUCAACAGGAGAUUGAUCAGGCAGGUUCAGUAAUUAUAUUAAGAAUGUCAUUCUGAAUAUAAAAUUUAGAUGACAGUACAUCAAACAUUAUUAAGACUAACUGAGUUAAAAUGGUUAAUGUUUCUAUGUGGUACAAGAACUUGAACAUGUAAAUGUGCAACCUAACACCACAUAGAUUUCCUUUUUCAAUAAUAGAAAAAUAUACUAGAGGUACAAAGCAUGCAGAUAUCAUUCCCAUUUUGUUUCUUUGGCAACAACUAGGCCACACAAAAAAGGCCUGUAAUUGAUGAUUAAUUUAUUAACAGGCACUCUGGUACUCCGUACUUGUCCAACCUCCAUUCAUAUAUGAGAGAAACAUUUUCCUUUUGGUGUCCCAAAAUGAGAAUUUUUUCGUAUAAAAUAGACUAAGAAGAGAUGCAAUCUCCAACCUUGCUCUCUGUUGAAUUGUUAAACCUAGCUUCCAGUUAAUAUCAAUAUUAUGAUUUAGAUUGAGUUAGGAGGUUAAUGGGAAAUUGAUUUUUUCUUCAAAUUCAUGGUUUUUUAAAAUUGUACUCUCACUUUAAAUUAGAUACUUGGAUGUCUACCUGUAUAGCAAGUUCUCUUGUUGGGCAUAUGACAAUAACACCGGUCCCAUUCCGAGGAGCAAAGUGAAGUUGAUACAACAACUCAACAGCUGGUACCAGAAAAGCAAGUGUCUUCCCAGAACCUGUCCUCGCAGCCCCAAGAACAUCUUUGCCUUCUAUAAGAAGAGGAACAGAU
rnacentral:lncRNA from 1 species